UACGUAGGGGCCUAGCGUUGUCCGGAAUCAUUGGGCGUAAAGAGCUCGUAGGCGGUUCGGCAAGUCACGUGUGAAAUCUCCACGCUUAACGUGGAGGCGCCACGUGAAACUGCCGUGACUCGAGUCCGGUAGGGGAGUGUGGAAUUCCCGGUGUAGCGGUGAAAUGCGCAGAUAUCAGGAGGAACACCGGUGGCGAAGGCGGGUCUGUGGGCCGGUACUGACGCUGAGGAGCGAAAGCGUGGGGAGCGAACAGG
rnacentral:rRNA from 1 species